rnacentral:rRNA from 1 species
CCUACGGGAGGCAGCAGUGAGGAAUAUUGGUCAAUGGACGAGAGUCUGAACCAGCCAAGUAGCGUGAAGGAUGACUGCCCUCUGGGUUGUAAACUUCUUUUAUAUGGGAAUAAAAUGUUCCACGUGUGGGAUUUUGUAUGUACCAUAUGAAUAAGGAUCGGCUAACUCCGUGCCAGCAGCCGCGGUAAUACGGAGGAUCCGAGCGUUAUCCGGAUUUAUUGGGUUUAAAGGGAGCGUAGGCGGAUUGUUAAGUCAGUUGUGAAAGUUUGCGGCUCAACCGUAAAACUGCAGUUGAAACUGGCAGUCUUGAGUACAGUAGAGGUAGGCGGAAUUCGUGGUGUAGCGGUGAAAUGCUUAGAUAUCACGAAGAACUCCGAUUGCGAAGGCAGCUCACUGGACUGCAACUGACACUGAGGCUCGAAAGUGUGGGUAGCAAACAGGAUUAGAUACCCGUGUGGUC